UACGUAGGGUGCAAGCGUUGUCCGGAAUUAUUGGGCGUAAAGGGCUCGUAGGCGGUCCAUCGCGUCGGGAGUGAAAAGCUGGGGCUUAACCCCAGUCCUGCUUCCGAUACGGGUGGACUAGAGGUAGGUAGGGGAGAACGGAAUUCCUGGUGUAGCGGUGAAAUGCGCAGAUAUCAGGAGGAACACCGGUGGCGAAGGCGGUUCUCCGGGCCACUACUGACGCUGAGAAGCGAAAGCAUGGGGAGCGAACAGG
rnacentral:rRNA from 1 species